AUAUGCCCAUGUGUUUCCUCGCAAGCAAGUCGACGGGAGCUUCGACUCUUCGUGGAUUUUUUGCCCGGCGGCGGGGUCGCCGCCACCAAACCGCCGUAAUCCAAAAUCCACGGUCCAACCUUCUUUUGUUCUGCCCGUGAGCCUUCCUCACAGCAAGAGAAAGCCAACCACCUCCAGCCCAGCUCGGUAGCUCUGCCUCUCCCAACCCAAACGGGCACACGACACCCGAGUCCGGCCGCCGAAGGAGGAGCCUCGCCGUCACCGCUUCGCAAUCUCCCAAGGCGGCGCGCGGCCGUUUAUUCGCUUUCCCACCUUCACCCGCGCCUCCGCCGCCACCACCGCCUUUGGUCCUCAGAUAUAACCCGAGGAUUCGUCGGUUCCUCGUCUUCCUUCGCAUUCUUCGCACGCGAGAUAUCUUAGACCGACCUAGAGCCAUGGGGGGAAGCCCCUCGAGGAGCAGCCCGCGGGACGGGAGCGGACACGGGCGGUACGGCCAGUCGCGUUCGUUCCCGCAGACGGUGGGGGCACCGCCGCAGUGGGGAGGGUACUACGGCCAGGACCCGAACGCGGGCUACUACGGCGCCCCGCAGCAGGGAGGAGGGUACGCCGCGCCGUACCCGGCCCCCGCCGCCGCGCCGCCGCCGCCGCCGCCGCAGACCGCGAAGCCGCAGCUGGACAGGCGUUACUCCCGGAUCGCCGACGACUACAACUCGGUAGAUCAGGUUACUGAUGCUCUAGCUCAAGCAGGACUUGAAUCCUCAAAUCUUAUUGUUGGCAUCGAUUUCACUAAGAGCAAUGAGUGGACAGGAAAAUUCUCCUUCCAUGGACGCAAUUUACAUCACAUUAGCAGUACGCCAAAUCCUUAUGAACAGGCUAUCUCGAUUAUUGGGCGAACACUGUCAAAAUUUGAUGAAGAUAAUUUGAUUCCAUGCUUCGGAUUUGGAGAUGCAUCAACACAUGAUCAAGAUGUCUUCUGUUUUUAUCCUGAUGAGAGACCUUGCAAUGGAUUCUCUGAAGCUCUGGAUCGAUAUAAGGAACUUGUACCACAUUUGCGCUUAGCUGGGCCAACAUCCUUUGCACCGAUUGUUGAGAUGGCUAUGACCAUUGUGGAGCAAAGUGGUGGGCAAUAUCAUGUUCUGUUGAUAAUUGCAGAUGGGCAGGUUACAAGGAGUGUAGAUACUGCAUCUGGACAGCUGAGUUCACAAGAGCAAAAAACUGUUGAUGCCAUUGUGAAGGCCAGUGAAUUGCCUUUGUCCAUUGUUUUAGUAGGAGUUGGUGAUGGCCCCUGGGACAUGAUGAAAGAAUUUGAUGACAACAUUCCUGCUCGAGCUUUUGACAAUUUCCAAUUUGUGAAUUUUUCGGAGAUAAUGUCCAAGAACACGCCACAAUUAAGGAAAGAGGCUGCAUUCGCUCUUUCAGCAUUGAUGGAGAUACCACAACAGUAUAAAGCAACUGUGGAAUUAGGAAUUUUAGGUCGUCGCUCUUUCAAGUCUCCUGACAGGGUUCCUCUGCCUCCCCCUACUGGAAGGCAUGAUGCUUAUUCAUAUGCGUCUAAAAGCUUUAGUAAGCCAACCACCUACGCGCAGAGUUCGUCAUCCUCGUCACCAUAUCCUCCUCACUAUGAAACUCCGCAUUCUGCCACCCCAGCCGCACCUUCGUCCACUUACGACAAUCAGGUUUGCCCUAUCUGCCUUGCGAACCCCAAAGACAUGGCCUUUGGCUGUGGACACCAGACCUGCUGUGACUGCGGACAGAGUCUCGAGUCGUGCCCAAUCUGUCGCACUCCAAUAGCUACUAGGAUAAAGCUAUACUAGUAAGUGGUGGUUUGGAUCAUUGCAAAUGGGCGGUAUGCUGGAGCCACCCUGCGUCACACUGGAAGAUGAAUCGCAUGCCCCAAUUUCAAUCCGUUCAGAGAGGUCCCGCCAUGACUCGGUUCCAGCAAAAGAGAAGAGAAAAACACAAAAAAGAAGAGAAAGUGAAAAACACAAAAGAGAAGCUGGUGAUGGGUCAAACAAUUGCGUGUACAUAUGAGAGUUUGAUGCUGACAUGCCCGUCAGUUGGCGUGAAUGGAUGAUGUACUACGUGUCUACGAGCUGGCAUGGCGCGUCGCUUACCGCCGCACUUCCUGUUGGGAACCCCAAUCUUUUGGCCGCUUCACCAAUGGAAGCAUUUGAACCCGUUGCGCCUGGGUGUUGACGAUCAAUCAAACAGCGGCGGCAGUGGAACCGUGGACCAUGGUUUGGCUUACCGAUCGGAAUUCGGUAACCGGGCUCCGGCGAUAAUCAAAAAAUUACGGUGACCGGUCGAAAAUUAAAAAAAAAAUCGGAUAAAAUUGAUUUGGUAAAAUUUGAAAUUUGAGGGAAAAAAAUUACGAUUUUAGCUGCUCGGUAACCAGUCAGUUUGGACCGGUUAUUGAGCUGUUUUUGCGAUUUAUCGAGUGAUUUUCUUGAAUUUUUCGCAUUGUCGGUAACCGCUCGGUUUUCUUGGUAAUCGUUCGGUUUUCUCGAUUUUUUUUAGUGAAGUUUAAAAAAACCUAAAAAUUAUCUUAAUCUUGUAAAAUUAAUAACUAAUUCAUCUUAGUUUCAAAUCAAGUGAAACAAAUUUUGUUGGUUUUCUUGUAAUAUGAUCUACAUGAUAAAAGUAUUUAUACUCAUAAAAAAGUUCGAAAUUUUAUGUGAGAAAUUGUAUUUGUUAAACCAAGUUAAAUGCAUAGUUUACUCUUUGCUAGUCCAAAAAUUAUGAAACUAAUUUUGUUAGUCUUUUUAUAUGAUUCUAUGUCUUUUAAAAAUACAUAAACUCAUGAAUUAGUAUUGUAACAUGCAGGAUUGUGUAAAUGUGUUGCGACUAGAUUAAUUCAUAACUGACCCAUCAUACCUCAAAAAAUAGUGAAAUAACUUUUAUUAGUUUAUUUAUACUAUGAUUUACGUAGAAAAAAUAAUAGUAGACAUGAAAAAGUUAAUUACAGUGUUGUUUUUUUUUGACACAUUCACUUUAUGCUUGUGAACUUUGUAAAAAUCAUAGAGAAAUUAAUAAAACUCUAAAUAAAAUGAAAUCAAUUUUAAAGAUACUCUUAAGAUACGUUUUACACAAGAAAAAUAUGUAUUUGCAUGUUAAACUUUUCCUUAACAUGAGUUAAUAACCGAGCCGCACGCUUCAAUUUUUUUUCAUUUUUUUCAAACUUCCUCCCUAUAGAAUAUGAUGCAAACGACAUUAUUUUUGAAUUUUUUUUUCUUCACAGAAGGUCUUAGAAUUGUGUCUAAUUUUUUAAAGAUUUUUUUGAAUUUUUUAUUAUUUUUUUGAAUUUUUUAAUUCAAAUUCGGUUACCAUUCGGUUUCUGAAACCGAACCAAAUCGAGAUGUUCGGUUAUAUUUUUGCUCGGUUACCGUCGGUUUUUUAACCCUGCCGUGGACACAACUAUGAUGCCCCAGUGCCAAAUCCUGCUCCAUCUCCCACCACACGUCCCUUGACCUGCAGAGCCAUCAAAUGAACCAGUGAUCCUGUCACGAUUAGGCAAAACCACCAUAUGACCAUAUGGAUUGUUCAUGCACGAUCAAUCCUAUACCCUUUUUAUCGGUUCUUGCUGUUCAUGAUUGAAGCACAUUGGUUGCUUGAGGUUACCUUGAUGACGACCAUGCUGGGGAACAGGAAGGUGAGCGGGGAGAGCGCGAAGGAGCCGAAGAGGUUGACGACGUCCCCAUGAAGGGGAAGAGCGCGGUGACGAAGACGUUGAAGCCGAAGAUGACUCCCCGCGAGAAGAAGCGGCGCGUGAGGUUGUAGCUGGAGAACGUGCCCUCGUCCAGCCGCUGCAGCUGCGUGUCCAUCGCCUCGUGGAUCGGCACCGCGAACAGCUGCGAGCACGCGCAUCACGCACCGGUUUGCUAGGCCCGCGCGCUGCAGCGCUGCUAGGCGCACGAAAAGGUGCGUGCGUGUUGCCAGACGACGCUUUGCAGGAAGGCGGCGGCGUUGAUGGACCCGGCUGCCCACCUCGGCCCGCCGAGCUCGUCGGGGAGGUACUCCGACACCGCCGACCCGUACGCCCAGUACCCCGCCACGCUGACGCCGUAGUACACAGCGGCGCCGGCGGUGUACUGCAGCAGCAGCGCCCGCCUCAUGCCGCGCACCGCCGGCUCCCAGACCGUCGAUUGGAACCAAAAGCAAAUUAAGCAAACGUGCAUGCAAUACAGCGCCAGGCGUCGACACGAGACCGUCACGGGCUACCACGGCCAGCCACACAUGCACGUCGCCGUCGAAGGCUCGAAGCACGAGUUUGAGAAAGGUGCAGGCUACAGAUAGACAUCAAAGAGAUCCGAACCUGUAUCUCCGGGAGCAGCCCGGACGUGUUGCAGACGAGGAUGGCGGCGACGGCGACGGCGCCCAACGCGUUGAACACCUUCUCGUCUUGGGUCCAUAUAAGGACGGUGUAAUCCUUUUGCUUUUCCCAUUUUCCUACGGAGAAACAAUAACGCAAAGCUGGUAAUAUAUCCAGCUAUUCCAACACGUAGAUUCAAGUACAGGAGCAGCAAGAGAACAGGUGGUCACCAUCGCUCAUUAGGAUGGCCAACGGAGCGACGUCAUAAGCUACUGUCAGCGCCGCGGACGUGGCGAGCCAGUUCCUCAUGGCGGAAAUCGUCGGCACGAAGUAGGCGAAUGCGAGGUAGAUGGUUCCGGUCGUGGUGAUGAACCAUUGCAGCCUAGCAGGGGAGUGGGUGAACUCCACGUUGAUUGCCUGGUUAAUGACCACGAGCUAGCAGUGAGGUAUUGUAGGGUUAGCAUGCAUGCAAAGCUGCUUGCUUUUUUAGAUGAAGGAAUGCAAAGCUGCUUGUGUUGCUGCUGAUUCCUAUAUUAACUAACUGUCCUGUUUUUUUUGUG